CCCUUCUCCAUUCCUUCUGCUUUAGUUUUCACAUCUCUCUUUCAUUAGGACAAGUUCUAUUCAUCAAGGAGAUGAAGUCAAUUCAAUCUUGGCCAAGAGCUAAAAUACGACUAUAAUUGCAAAGUGGAGCUUGCUUUGACAUCCAAUAGCAGGACGAGAGUAUGUGGCUAUUCCAUAUGAACACACAAAACCUACCCCGUGACCAGAUCCUGUGCAUGAUAAUGAAGAAACACAUGACCAAGUGCUGAAAACCAGAUUAAAAGAAAAAGAUGAACAUCUUGAGCAAGGACCUAUGAUAGAACAACUUAGCAAAAUGUUCUUUACUAUUAAGCACCGUUGGGAUCCUCAUGGACUGUAUCACAGAUGUCACAGGAACCUGAAUCCCCCAAAAGACAGAUAAUUUUCAGGUUCUCCUUAGGAAUCAAAGAGAAAUGUUAUCUUUUGCCUUAUUUGCCAUUUGAGAAAAUGUAAUCUAGUGUAUUCACUAAUAGGUUAUAUAUUAAAAGACUCAUAAAAUAAAUUUUCAUAUAUUAAA